AUACGAAGGGGGCUAGCGUUGUUCGGAAUCACUGGGCGUAAAGCGCGCGUAGGUGGAUCAAUUAGUUGAGGGCGAAAUCCCGGGGCUCAACCUCGGAACUGCCUUCAAUACUGUUGAUCUUGAGACCGAGAGAGGUGAGUGGAAUUCCUAGUGUAGAGGUGAAAUUCGUAGAUAUUAGGAAGAACACCAGUGGCGAAGGCGGCUCACUGGCUCGGUACUGACGCUGAGGUGCGAAAGCGUGGGGAGCAAACAGGAUUAGAAACCCUAGUAGUCC
rnacentral:rRNA from 1 species